GUGCCUUUAACUCAGUGGUUAGAGUGCCUAGCUCAUAACUAGGAGGUCACUGGUUCAAGUCCAGUAAGGCGCA
rnacentral:tRNA from 1 species